UUGUUGAGGCAAAAGUGUACAGUAAGAUUACAGAUUUGUACAGAGUACCAUUCAGUAGUAUUUCUCUUUAUGUAAAUUAGCACAUCACUUAGUACAUCACAUUUGCAUUUUCAAAUAGUUUACGCCAACACUAGUUCCUGAUACAAUGCUACCGGUUUUAGUCAUAUCUGUUAUUUACUAAUAAAAACACAAUAUAAACAGAUAUAUUGAGAUAUACACCUGCUUUUUCAUGUGAGCACAAACAUUUACAAAUAUCUGCUGUCAUUUGUUUUCCCUGAAGUUACCAAGAAAAUGAGAAGGGCAGCACUCUUUUGUGUUUUCAUCAAUCUAGUUGGAAUGUUGUACAUUGCGCAGAUAAUCAAAUCAUAAUAUCCUGAACAUUCACUCGGUAUUAACCCAUAAGAAAUGUUACAGAUCAAAAGUCCAGAGCAAUGGUGGUGGAAGCAGUCUUCUGUUUUUUUAAUCCUAUUCCAGGAGGGGGCAGCAGUCCUCCUCAUAAUGGAUAUUCAUACCCUCUGAAUUUAUUUUGUUUUUCUUCUUCCUCCAACUCCUAGAGAUUUAAACAAAUUCAGUCCACUGUAUUUCCUAUAAAAGCCACUGAGAAUUCUCCUCCUAACGCAGUAGCAUCACCUGUAAGACAGGGAGGUAGAUCUGUGUGUGACAAUGGGCGCUAUUGUAGUAUUAGCUGCGUUGCUGGGAACUUUAUCUUAUGGUCACUGUGUUGAACUCACACAGCCAGGCUCUAUGGCUGUAAAACCAGGAGAGUCUCUGACCAUCUCCUGUAAAGUCUCUGGGUAUUCCCUGACUGAUAGCAGCUACUGUACAAACUGGAUCAGACAGCCUGCAGGGAAAGCUCUGGAGUGGGUUGGAUAUAUAUGCUCUAGUGGAAGCACUGGAUACCAAGAUUCUCUGAAGAGCAAAUUCAUCAUCACCAGAGACACCUCCAGCAACACAGUGUUUUUACAAGGGAGCAGCCUGCAGACUGGAGACACAGCUGUGUAUUACUGUGCCCGACACACACAGUGCAGUAAAGCCACAGCAGACCUGUACAAAAACCCACCCUGAUGAGUGUAGUGGCAGA